rnacentral:rRNA from 1 species
CUCAGAUUGAACGCUGGCGGCAGGCCUAACACAUGCAAGUCGAGCGGAAACGACAUUAUUGAUUCUUCGGAUGAUUUAAUGGGCGUCGAGCGGCGGACGGGUGAGUAAUGCCUAGGAAAUUGCCUUGAUGUGGGGGAUAACCAUUGGAAACGAUGGCUAAUACCGCAUAAUGCCUACGGGCCAAAGAGGGGGAUCUUCGGACCUCUCGCGUCAAGAUAUGCCUAGGUGGGAUUAGCUAGUUGGUGAGGUAAUGGCUCACCAAGGCGACGAUCCCUAGCUGGUCUGAGAGGAUGAUCAGCCACACUGGAACUGAGACACGGUCCAGACUCCUACGGGAGGCAGCAGUGGGGAAUAUUGCACAAUGGGCGAAAGCCUGAUGCAGCCAUGCCGCGUGUAUGAAGAAGGCCUGGUUGUAAGUACGUUACUAGUUGUGUAGAAGGGGUAACGGUUAACGUAGCGUUAUCUCUUGUCGUUAG